GAAUUGGGCUGCAAUCUGAAUGCUAUACAAGGCACUGACACACCCAUCCAAUUAUCUUAUCUUCAAUUGCUUCUUUGUAUCAGGGAGAGGAUCUUUAGGUAAGAUGAAAUUGAAAACUUCCCAUGUUCUAAAUUUAGGAUUGUCUGUCUAUGGAAUGUUUUAUUACUUUCCCUCUGAGUUUAUAGGGAAGAAGGCCUAAGAAAGUUCCUAACUGGCUCUGAGUGUCUGCUUCUAAUUUGGCCAACUUCUGGCCACAGGGCAGCUGCUUUAAAAAAAGGGAAAAAAAAAAUAGAAUAAUCCUGUUCAAUAUCCCAUCAGCUUUCAGCUUAAGGACAAUCGGUAAGCAUUCCUGGUCACACUUACGAAUUAAAAAAAAAAAGAAAGAAAACCCCUUGCGUAACACAGAGCGGCUGUGUUGCUGCAGUUAGCCUAAACCCGUUACCAGGCAACAGUUACCAGUGGCCAGUUAGUGGUCCUGCUCAGCCAUUGGUUGGUGCCAAUGGCCUACAAUGUAGGCUCCACCCCUAAGUAAGCAACUGCCAAAGGGCUACCGUUAGUUGUCCUGCUCACCCAUUGGCCGGCUCUGUAGUAGACCCCUCCCCCAAGCGAGCAACUGUCACUGAGCGACCGUUAGUGGGAGAUACAGCCAACUGUCAGUGGAAAGGUGGUUCUCGGGCAGAGAAUGAGAUUUCUCCUGGGUAUCUACCUGUGAUCGGGAUUGCUGAAGUAAAACGUGAAAUGCGACACCAGUUCUUGAUCUUGGCAACUAGAUGGGAUAUUGAAUGCUAGGAGGGUCUCAGCUUAUGAUGUUUGCUGCAUCUAGAGGCAACAUCUUUCUCAGCACCAGACGUGUGUAUUCCUAGUGAUCCUGACAAUGACCGUCACUGUGGGCUGCAUCUCCCGUGAGCACUGGUCACUCUGGACACUGGAAUACAGAAGCAUACUGGAAGCAAAUGUAUAUGGAGAGAUUGAAGAAAGCGGUACUAGGGCACAGUUGUAUUCCCUGAGAAAAAUUUUAGAUAUGAAUGCCAUCUCAUUUGUUUUUCAGCCAAUAGGAACAAACCAACAGGAUAUAUAUCCAGAGAAGGUUGUAUGCAAAGCACUAUAAAAGUAUCAAUGGAUUCAAUGGAUACAGGUUUAAGCAAGUUCCAGGAGAUGGGGGGUGGGGUGGGGGACAGGGAAGCCUGGCGUGCUGCAGUCCAUGGGGACGCAAAGAGUCAGGCACAAUUGAACUGAACAAGAACAAUAAAAGUAUCAACAUCAGACAGGUGUUCCCCUGGCCACAUGGUGGGAUGGGGUGUGGGGUGUGGGGUGGUAUUCUGUAGAGACAUACAUGCUUCCAAAGACCUGGGUCUUAAGUUACAAGUGGUCCUUUCGGGUUCUGAGCAACCAUCUUACUUCUUUACCGGUACAGAUGCCCUGAGAAAUGGGCACACCUUCAUAUCCACUAUUUUGUUGACCAAGGAGGCACUUCCCUGCUUUGGGGGGAUUAUCUCUGGAUCCUCUCAUACAGUAGGAGGGUCUUAAAUUCAACUAGAGUGGCCCCUUUUCUCAUAAUAAGCUGGUGCUUCAUGAGUGGGGGGAGAGCUGGAUGUCUAGAUAUUGGUGCUUUCCUUUUACCUUCUUUGAAAAUGGCAAGUGUAUAUUAAACCUGGUGCCAGAGAAUAGUAACAUUCUGAAAGGAUGAGUUUUUAUUUUUUUCGUUUUCUCCUGUUUCAGAAUUUCACCUGUUCCUUGUCUGACCUCUGGGGGGCUUACUCCAGAUGUCAAUGAAAAUGUAAAAUCAGUGAAAUAAUCAGCUCUUUAAGGAGUAUUUGUACACUUACCCGGGAAUCUCUGAGAAAAGAUCUAAAACACUAUGGGAUGGCUAUCUGAUGAAUACGCUGCAGAGAAACUGGACGUUAUUUUUGGACAGAAAAAACAACUUGAAUGAAGCGAUCAUGUAAAUUAGAGAAAGGAGAUAAAAAUAACCUCUGGAUAUUCCUCUUGUUUGAGAUUUACUCUGGAUGAAGCAUUAAGAUCGUUACGGGAAGUGUAUGACUCAUGUGCAAUUUAAUUAUGUAAAACUAUUGUAUUUCUAAGGAAUAAAACAAAUAGCAACAACAAAAAAAACCUUUGUACAAGCCUUGUGAACUGACCUGAGGGCUUGAUUUGAUCAUGUAACUGAAGAAAUACAUUUUCCACAUAAUAUUUCACAGCACUCCGCUGUAAUUCACAGAUUUUGGCUCUUAUUAUAGAAGUUCUGUAGAUAGAAAGGAGCUUUAGUUGGCACAGCUACAGAGUGUCUUUCAGUUAUUAAGGAACACGUUUUAACCUCGUGCCAGUGAUAUUUGCAUUUCUUUCUUAAAGAAAAUUUGAAGUAUUAACAUUUGACACAUUGCUAUAGAAAACUGAGGAACAUCAUCAGUAGAACUGGAAACAUAAAAUGGAAAAACCUAAAAUGCAAAGAUGAGUCUCAGAGAUGACCUCUCUUCGAAGGAGUGCCUUUCCACUGGGGAGUCCAGAGAGAAAACAUUAUUUCUACAAACAGUAUUGUAACAACAUUGCUGCAUGCUUAGUCUACACCAGCUUGCUCAAAAUGCGCUGCUUUAUCCUACCCGCUGCUCACUUACUUGUAUCCUGUGGUCGUCUUCCAGUCUGCGGGUGUGAGAACGAUGAUUAAGUAAGGUUAAGAGAGGUUAAGUAACCUGUCUGCUGGUAAGUGGUGAAGCUGAGUUCAGAGGCUACGUACUUAAGUCAUUGCAUUCCGCUUCUACUUGAAAGUAUCCCAAGGCUUGAGAUGUGUGUAAAAUGUUAGGGGAGAAGUGAAAAGAGGCACUUGAUUCCUGUGGGAAAGUGGUCAAGUGAGAAUAAAUCAAGCAGAGAGCAAAAUAGGAGAGGCUGAAAAUGCAGACAAGGGUUGGCUGGGGACCAAAGAUGAACACUUGGAGGAGGUGAGACGAGACGAUCUCAGUACGUUGUUUUACACCGGGUGUUAGUGAACUAGAGCUCCAGGGAGGGGAAACAAGAAAAUGUCCCAUGCGGGUUUUCAUUUUUAUUUGUAAAUGAUGCCUUACACUGUAAUGGUAUAAGGGGAGGUUUUGAGAAAGGUUAGUUUUGCUUUGGGAAUCUUGAGGAUGUGAGAACCCAUUGAACUAUCAGGUGAAGGGACUUUGCAGACAGUUAAGUACGUAAAUCACCAUUGGAAGAGACGUGGGGUCUGGGGAGCAUGGGUCUCCAAUGAGACCGUGGAGGAAAGGAAACCCAAAGGCAUCAAAAGGAAGGUCGGGGCAGCGCAAGAAAAGUCGGUCAAGGCAGCUCUAAAGAGACAGAAGUGAAGAUGAGCCCACUGUGAAAGAGAGACCAAUUCAGGUCAGAGGUGAACCUCCCUGGGAAGGACUCCCUGCUUAAUAGGACACAGCUUGUGCUGAUCAGCGUAGAGCGUGAGGCCCACAUCAGGACGGAAGGUCCUGGACAGUCAGUGAUGGAGACGCAGUGGGGAAGGAGGUCACGGGAUCAAGGUAGGCUUCCUUACUGCUUCUUGACUCUUGGGUUAGUAGUUGGAUGUUUUUUAAUUUCUCUUUUGAAUUAGAGUGAGAUGAAGCUUAGAAAAAAAACAGGAAAGAGAGAGAGAGAGAGGUGAAGAUACAUGCAAGGGGGAAUACAACUGAAAGCAGGGUUCCCGCAAUGUUCUCAGGUUGAGAUGCAGGCCUUGGCAUCAGGGCCUGGAUCCCUUCCUCCACAGUUCUUUGGCGAUGCGCUUUAAUCUCUCAUAGCUUCAGUUUCCCCCUUAUUAACAUGUAGAUAAAAAUAACAUUGAUCUAAGAGGGUUAUUGUGAAGAUUAGGUGUUAUAAUGUAUGAGAAAAUGAUUUACAGGGAGACCUCAUGGUCAAGUUUGCUGUUAUUGUUGGCCUCAGAAAUGCAGGGCUCUGUAGAUGAGCACAACAUCUGAGACUGAAAUAAAGGAAAUGGUUGAUAUUUCUUGAGGCAAAUUUGAAAUAUGAGACUCAUGGAGAUAAUACCAUAUUGUUUAAUUGACUUAAGCACUUAGCCCUUUUUAAAAAGAAUUAAAGAAAACUAAAAGUCAGGACUCCAUUUGUCCUAAAAUUAUAAACAUCUGCUCAAUUCCAAGUUGUUUGGAAAUAAAACCUUUUGUGUCCUAAAACUCUAAACAUUUGUUUGGGAAUCCAUAUAUAUAUGCAUAUAUAUAUAUAUUUAGUGAGGUAUAUCUUUUUUUGUAGGCGAGCUGGCAAUAUUUUAGUACUGAAAUAUAAAAUAUAACAAGCGUUCUUUCUUUACCAAAGGAAUUGACAGUUUAAUAUGGUCCUUUCACUGCUGUUGUUUAGUCGCCCAGGCGU